UAUGGUAUGUGCCAGCAGCCGCGGUAAAACGUAGGUCACAAGCGUUGUCCGGAAUUACUGGGUGUAAAGGGAGCGCAGGCGGGAAGACAAGUUGGAAGUGAAAUCUAUGGGCUCAACCCAUAAACUGCUUUCAAAACUGUUUUUCUUGAGUAGUGCAGAGGUAGGCGGAAUUCCCGGUGUAGCGGUGGAAUGCGUAGAUAUCGGGAGGAACACCAGUGGCGAAGGCGGCCUACUGGGCACCAACUGACGCUGAGGCUCGAAAGUGUGGGUAGCAAACAGG
rnacentral:rRNA from 1 species